UGUAUCUCAAAAUAUCAUAAUAAUUGUCAAAAUAUCAGAGUAUAAACUUCCCAGGCUAAAAAGAUGGUGUGUGCACUGCAAUCUUCCUGAGCUCCUCUUUUGAAAACUGAGUACCUGAAACCAAAACUGAAAUUGUAAGCAUGAAGCUUAGUGAGCUCCCCCAAACUACCACAUACCAUACAAUAACAUAUAAAGCACAUACUGGGUCUUGCUCACUGCAUCAGACCGAAGUCCGGAACUAACUAGGGCCUUGCCCUCUACAUCGGACCGAAGUCCGGAACUGACUAGGGCCUUGUUCUUUGCAUCAAACUGAUGUCCGAAACUGACUAGGGCCUUGCCCACUGCAUCGGACCAAAGUAUGGAACUAACUAGGGCCUUGCCCACUGCAUCAGACCGAAGUCCGGAACUAACUAGGGCCUUGCCUACUGCAUCGGACCGAAAUCCGGAACUAACUAGGGCCUUGCCCACUGCAUCGGACCGAAGUCCGGAUCUGACUGAACAUAGCAUAACAUAAUCAUAACAUAUACAAUAACACAUAUACUGCAUCGGACCGCAGUCCGCAACACAUAACACAUAGACAUGCAUGAAUCACAAAGACAUCAAGCAUACUGAACUACUUCUCGGGACCACCCCAGCAUCGGACCGAAGUCUGGAACUACUGCUAUCUAAUCGGGUCGGCAUUGUGGGUGUAGACCAGUUCCUACUCGAAGGAAACUCACCUCACAUGCUGAAGUCCCGCUGACAAAACCAUAGCUAUUGGAUGACAGAUUCCCGAUCUGUCAAUAUCAAAAUAACACCCAAUUAAUAAUUGGGUUCCAACUCAUAGUCAUAAGUCCAUGCUUGGGUAAGAGAUUACCUUACCCCAAUGUUAGCUUGAAUCAAGCCCAAGGCCCAAUCCAAAGGCCCAAAGGUCUAAUAAUGGACCAAAGCCCAACUAUGGCCCAUUUAUGGCCCAAUUUUCCCAAUUGGGCCCAAAUCUCUACAUGGUCUUGAUCAAAAGCCCAACCAUUUAGUUCAGUCCAACAUUUGGCAUUCUAAUGGCCCAUUAUCAUAUAACCAUCAAGGCCCAAACUAUGACCCAAUUUUCCAAAUUGGGCCCAAACCCUCAUAUGGGCCUUACCCUAAGACCAUUAAAUUAUUCUAAUCCGUUUGCUUGCUCUUGGAUGGUCCAUUAUUAUCCCAAUCACCAAGGCCAAAUAGGAAGGCCCAACUCAAGUCCAAGUGAAAUUAGGGUUUCAGAUAAAAUGACAAUUAAGGUUAAGUGUUUCUCACUUAACUCAUUAAGGACUUAAUCCAUUAAGUCCUGUACUCUACUAGAUAAAUGAUAUGGAAUAAUUUGGGCUUAAUUACACAAUCCAAUCCCAAUGGCCCAAAGGUGGGUCCCAAUAAGUCUAAGGCCCAAAUACUCACAAUUAGGGAUUUCUACCCAAACAUGGCCCAAUAGGCCCAAAAUUAAUCUUUAAGCCGAUUAGGGUCUUGCUAGGUCCAUUAGGGUUUUGCUUGGGGGGCACCACCCACUACCACCUCGGGUAGUGGUGGUCAACGGCGGUUCACGGUGGCGGACACCACCUUACGAUGGUGGUUAUGGUUCUUUUCAUUACAUUUUCUACUAAUUACAAAUACAAGUUUUUAAUCCAUAAAUAAACACACACACACACACACACUAACUACUCUAACACACACACAACCACUCUAGUGGUGGCCGGCGGUGGCUUGUNNNNNNCAGCCACCACCUCACGGUGGUGGUGGUGGCUUUUCCCAUGAACUCCAGCUAGGCAAAACACACACACAUACUUUAGAUUGCACACAACCCUCCAGCCACCCACCUGGUGGCUCAAGGGGACAACAACGAUGAUUUUGGGAUGGCAACCACCACCUCACGGUGGUGGCGUUGGUUUCUGUUGGUUCCUAGACAAGUAGCACCACACCCACGCGACUUCAUUUGCAAGACGCACCCAUCCACCCAACUGGUGGUGUUUGGCAAUGGCAGCAACAACUCAAGCGGCUCAUCGGUGGCAUAACGGUGGCUAACAACGGCGAUGAUGUACAGCUGGACAAGGUGGCAACAACGAUGUACCAUCAGAAAGAAAUGGAGAAAAGAGAAGGCUGAGCGACGGGGAACUGAGCAAGGGAACGCACCUGUAACAUCCCAAAAUUCAAGAGUAAAAAUUUCUUUUAAUAAAACAUUACUUAAAGCAAAAUCAUCAAUCCAAAACAUAAUCAGAGUAUUAAUUUCCAAAAACACAUGUUCGUUAUCAGAGUAAAACAUUCCCAGGCUGUCUAAUCUAUGGUGUGUGCCAUGCGAUCACCCCGAGCUCUUCCCUCCGCUACCGGAAGUACCUGAAACCAAAACUGAAAACCGUAAGCACGAAGCUUAGUGAGUUCCCCNNNNNNNNNNNNNNNNNNNNNNNNNNNNNNNNNNNNNNNNNNNNNNNNNNNNNNNNNNNNNNNNNNNNNNNNNNNNNGGCCCCGCCUGGCUGCGAGCCUCGCUCGGAUACAGAUUUGUUUCACUUAGGCCUCGCCUGUCACUGGGUCUCGCCCGCCAACAUAUAAUAGCACAUAAACAUAUCACAUCACAUAAGCUAAACAUAUACUAACGGAUCCUAUCAUAAGGCCUCGCCUAUCCUGGGCCUCGUCCUUGUCCUGCUACGGAGGAGUCAUGGAACCCCGUCCAUGCUCCUACUGAUAGUGAGAUACGGGCCCAACCCACACUCACUCUUUCCCUAACUUGGGCCUCGCCCUUGAUCUGUUGCUAAUGAGAUGUGGAACACCAUCCACACUCUGCUAUUGGUGAGAUACGGGACCUCGCCCACACUCACCUCCCUACCAGGCACAUACAAGUAUCACACAGACAACAAGUAUAAACUAUCACAUAAACCAUUCCUUGGGCACCCGCCCGCUAUCAUUGGACCUCGUCCCGAAUAUCAUACUAGCAUACUGUGCCUAGGGCUAACCCCCGGGUCUUCUACUCAUAACUACAUGGGCCGGCAUUAUGGCCUUAGACCCAUUCACACAAAGGGAAACUCACCUGCACUUGCUGAACUUGCUGAUAGCCCCUCUAGCCGCUAUCCGACAACUCUUUGAACUCCUGCUCUACUAGCUCCCCGAGCUACCAAUAUCAAAGCAACACUUAGUCUAACUGUCCCCCGAAAGUCAACUAAGUCUCUGGUCAAAGUCAAAGUCCUGGUCAAAGUCAACCUUCUAGGUCAACCCUACUCGCCGAGUCUACCUACUGACUCGCCGAGUUCAUUAACUCAAAAUCCUUUCAUCCGUGACUCGACUCGCCGAGUCUACCGAUUUCCGAGUCCUGACCUGUCCAACUCACUGAGUCCCUACAUAACAGACUGAUCCGAGUCUUAACUCGAAGGGUUUGGGGUUUCGCGUCUCGACUCGCCGAGUCCAAGGCAAUCUUCAACAGACUCGCCGAGUUGUUCUUACAACUCGCCGAGUUCCUGCCCAACUUCAUCCAACUCCCCGAGUCGACCCAUGUGACUCGUCGAGUCGCUCUAGUUCUUAAUCCAUACAGUGGCUUUUCGAGCCAUGCAGGGGCUCCAAAUCAUAGAUCCAUACUUCCAAAACUCAAUCCUCACGUAAAGUUGCAAACUUUACGUAUAACUAAAGAGAUCUUGGCUCAAAACACACUAGGGCUAGGUUUAAGGACAAAAGGGCUUCACCAACUACUCAUCUUCUGAUGCUUUAUGACAUAUUGGACCAUCCCAACACUAGAUCUGAAGUGGCAACAACAUAUCUAAGCCCCCAAACUCGAAUUGGGUCUCAAACAACCAUAAAACCCCCAAAUCUCAUAACAAAAAUAGAUCUAGAUGCAAAGGAUGGAAAAUAGCAGCUUAUUACCUCCAAGAUGAACACAAACUGAAGUAGAUCUCAGAUCUCCACCUCUCCUUUGAAGCAACCUUCUUGAUCUUCAAGUUCCUUUCUAAAGUUUCCUUCCUCCAAAGCUAUUUCUCUCAAAUGGUGGAAGCUCACACGGAAUCUAGGGUUUACAGGUUCUCUAGGAUGAUAUGGAGGCUGAGGGAGGGACAUAACACCCUUUAUAUAGGAUACAACUCCCGGAAUUAGGGGUUUCUUCGUUCAGACCAGACUCGCCAAGUCCCCUUAGCCGACUCGCCGAGUCGGUCACUUACUCCUCGACCCGGAUCCCGCUCGGACUCGUCGAGUUCGUCCUUGAACUCGACGAGUCGGCCCUUUGACUUAGGGUUUCCUUUCCUUUCUUGACCUUCCAGAUUUUGGGUGUUACAGCACCCGAUCACAGCCACCCUCAUAGUGGCCCAUGGCAGUUUUAGGGAAAGCUUCAUCCACAGCCACAACCUCUGAUCGAUAAACUGAUGGUGGCGAUAACUCGACGACAGAAGAAACGGAGACGAGGGGGCGGCGGAAAACGAUGGCAAUAGAACUCAAUAGAACCCACCUUGAUGAACGACUACUUAUUGUCUUCAUCGAACCUCGGUGGUUCUCCGGCAGCAGCGUCGCAAUGACCACCUUCCAUUGUAGUGUAUCUGUCGGCGGUAGGCAUCCCCGUUGAUCGGAAUAGCGAAUAGAAGGGAGGUGGUGGUGGAUGACUUCACUCAUGGCGGCUGGAACCUCUUAGGUUUAGGGUUUGGGAGUAAUAAGGUGACGGGAAGGAAAGGUCACCGGGUAUAUCCGCUCCAAUACAAAUGUCCUUUCACUUUUGUCACAUAUAGCCCCUCCUUAUCAGUUCUUAUUCAAAUUAAGCCCCAAAAUUUACCUUUUAGCCCCCGCCCCCAAGAAUCUAUUCAAUCUAAGUCCAUAAUUUACCAUUUAUACCCUGCCUUAUGAAUUCAAUUUCAUAAUAAAUCCUAAUAAUUACCAAACAUACCCCCACUUCUAAAAUCCUUCUCAAAUUAAAUUCAGGAAUUUACUAAACAACCGCCAACUAUCGAAAUUCUUCAAAAUUUAGUCUGGGAGUUACAUUUAUUAAUUUAUUUGUUUAUUUAUUAAUUAAACGGGGUGUUACUACCCUCCACCACAUAAUUUGGAUUUCGUCCUCGAAAUCAACCUUUAUAAUUCCUCACAUGCCAACCUAAUCAAGUAACCUGGCCACAACCCUGGGCACACCCAAGACAUCUCAGGGCACCCGUGACCAACCCGCGUAGGGUUCUAAAAUUGGUAGAUAAAUGAGUUCCUCGCAACAAGAUCACAUCUACUCCAUCUAAAAUUUGCUGUCUCGAGAUAGUAUGAAUCCCUGACAGACUGCCCAUACUGAAAUCAUUAUCGAUGCACGCAGUCCACUUGUCUCUCAAAUGCUUACUUAACUUCUGAUAACACGAGGUUCCCAUUAGAAACAGAAUCAUAGAUCCCCUUAUCCCUACGAUUCAAUUGUACCUGGCCAACGCUCUGAUAACCCCGCUGUGAGUGACUUAGCAUAACCCAAGCUAUCUGUGAUUCUAACCAUACAUGAAAUCCCAAAAUAACAUUACUGCUGGAGACCUAAAACUGUCUGAAACACUGAACUUCUGGAAACACUGAACUACUACAUGACCAUUGGUAGCCUCAUGUCAUGAAUGACCUUAAGCAGUCCCCUGCUUCCUUGCUCUCAUAACUUUAGUGGCGCUCUGACAGUCUUAUCACCGGUUCAACCAUAUCUAAUCCAUCUAGGUAAUUCCAAAAUCCAAUCCGUAGAUUUCCAUAUCCUCACUGCUACACCCGAACUGGUGGGUACUAUUGUUCCUUCCGCGACCUAACAACGCUCUCACGUUAUCUACCAACCUAGUAAAUGCUUAUGGCUACACCCGUAAACUUAUAACACUCUACCACUAUUUGGCUGCUAGUGAAUGCUAUGACUACACCCACAGACUUACAACACUCUAUCACUAUCUGGCUGCUAGUGAAUGCUACAGCUACACCUGCAGACUUACAACACUCUCCAUACUGGAUCGACACAUGCUUGACCCGCACUCACUUGAACUCAUGUCCUGACUGAAAUCCUCAACCUGAUUCCUUAAGGUUUUCUGGAAAACAUUACGGGAACACCAUCUCCUUAUUGGCAAGUUUUUCCGAACUUCCAUCUCGCACUAUCCUCAAACCAUACCGCUGCUUGGGCUGUCUUCCUUCCUGACAAGGAUACGAAACUUAUCCCAGUUUCAAAGCUUCUCCUACUUCUGAAUCCUUGGAUGAUUCUCCCCCACUUUGAUCCAAAUAACGUCUUACAUCACACAAUACUGGAAGGAUUCUCAAUCCUUCUUAUCAUUCCAUGCCCAAUCUGUUGAAAACCACGUUUACCAUUGCUAGUGUUUCAAUACUAGCCAGUCCAAAAGAUCACACCACCUCCAUGAACCCAAAUAAAUCUCCGGUAAUAACCCGCUAGACCCAGGAAGCUCCGAAUCUCAGUUGGAGACCUCAGAAUCUCCAACUGCAUCCCAGCCUCUAUCUGGGCCGGAUCAACUAGUACACCCUUCUGGUUGACAGGGUGCCCAAGGAGUUGCACUUCACGCAACCAGAACUCACAUUUGGAGAACCUUGCAAAAAAAAUUCUCCCCCUCCUCAAAGUCUCUAGCACCUCCCUCAGGUGCUUCUCGUGCUGCUCCUCAGUCUUGGAAUAAACCAAGAUGAUGUUGUACUCUCCCAAUCCCGCAAUUUGGGAAAUGAUCUUUCGCUAUCCACUAAUAAUUCUCGAUAUGUAGUACGGAUCUCACACACUACAAGUUCCCUGGUCUUAUCUCAUCCUUCCUUGAUUCAAGUACGAAUCCUCUGCUUUCAGUAGUACGGGCCCAUACUGAUGGGUUUUGAGCAUUCUAACACCCCUAAGUAUACAGGAAACCCUAUAAAACCUUGGAUCUAUGUUUGUCUAAAAUACAUGAAAAAUAUGAUUUCCAAGGUUCAUAAUCCUAUCUAGCAUACAUGGGGAACUUUUAAUCUAAAAGAUGGCUAGAAUUACAUACCUUGUAGUUGAUUUGAUUCCUUAGAAACCUUGAGAUCCUAGCACCCCAAGUGUGAUGCCUUAAGUACUUCACACAACACCAAAUGCUUUAGAAUAACUUUAGAGUAUGUAUAACACUUGUAUAAAUUGGCUUGCCCUCUCUUGUUCUUAGUGUCAAGUCACUACUAGAAAAACAGCCUUUUACGACGCUCAUUGUGCGUCGUAAAAGGCUUAGACGACGCGCAAAUGCGCGUCAAGGAAGGCCUUGUCAUAAAGAGAGACGAAGCGCAUUUGCGACGCUCAUUUACGACGCACAAUUAUGACGCACGUUUACAACACGCAAUGCAUAUCAAGGAAGGCCCUGUCAUAAAGGAAGACGACGCGCAUUCGCGUGUCGUGACCUUACGACGCGCGUGUUAAUGACACACAAUGCGUAUCAAGAAAGCCCCUGUCAAGAAAGGCCAUGCAUAAAUUAAGAUGACACACAUUUUUUGCAUAUCGUAAAUUUAAAUGUUUAAAAAAAAAUUAUAUAUUUAUUAAUUUUUAAAUUAAAUUUGCAUUUAGUUUCUCAUAAUAGAAAUAAAAUACCAUAUACAAAAAAUACAAUCAAUUGCAUAAUAUAAAAUAAAAUUUCAUACUCAAACAACAAAAUAAAUUGCACAAAUUAUAAUGUCAUACAAAGAAUCAUUCAAAUGUUAAACAAAAAUAAUGCAUUGCUACAUGGGUUAUACAUUCCUAUAAAACUAACAAAUAAUCAUACAACUCUGUUUCUUACUGGAAAGGAAUGCCAAACAUGAUUACAAGUCUCCCUUAAUCUUGAUUACUCACCUGCUUAAGUAGAAUGCUAUUAUUGAGAAGGUUACCUAGCAACAGAGAAAAUCACAACGCCUCUCCCACAAUCACAACAUCAUUUACAGAAAAGGGUUGUCAAUUACUUUCAUUAAUAAUUUCAUUCAAUCACAAAAAUAUUAAAUAAAAGGGUGAAAAAAAUAACUUACUUUUGAUAAGUUGAUCUCCCUUAGAGCAAACACAGCUAAAGCAUUGAACAAGACCCUAUUUCAAAAUUUUGUAAAUACACAAAUCAUGAUACCUGAUACUGGAAUACACACUUUGAGACAUGAAUUAAUACGAGUAGAUUAACCUGGAUACAUAGGAAGUAAAGAUGGAAGGUGCCAGAACUCCGGGGGCAUUGGGUUGGUUCCUUCCCACUCGCACACACCAAGCCAGAACUCCACUUAAUCCAACACCAAAAUAAGCCUGCAUUUAGAAAGCUGCAGGGGUGAGUCACAAUUCAAGAAUCUGUUAAAAUUUGAGGAAUAACAAGUUCAACCAAAACAAUAUUAGAAAACAGUGUUAAAUGUGAAUCAUAACAAUGUAAUAAUUAUCAAGGUGCUGGAAUACUUGAAAUCUAGAUUAUUUACCUUUUGAUUGUAAAUCUAAAGAUUCCUCAUGCACAGAUUAUGUUCUUGUCAACUCUUGCACAGUGGUAAAUUUCAAUUUAGCUGGUUUGUCUGUUCUUUUCACCUGAUCUUUUCAUCUCUAGGCAUCCUAUCUAUUUAUUCGUUGCAGACUAGUGAGCUUCCAUCAUUAUGUUCUUGAAAUCUUGAUUGUUAAACUUCUAAUUUUGAAUCUGAGCUUUUUAUUACAAUGUUACUAUUGUAGCACUUACUUAAUGCACACAUAUUUACUAUGAUUAGGUUCUUGUCAACUCAUACAUGAUGUUAAAUUGCAACUGAGAUAUCCAUUAAAUCCACGUAAAAUGACUAUUUCGCCCACAUUUUUGUAUUUUUACUAAUUCUUUUGUACAUUAACUCACAACAAUGAACUUUGAAUCAAAUGAUCCAGACUUCCAUUUUACUUCUCAUGAACUGUAUCGUAUUUCUUAUUAGGAAUCAAGUUUAUUGAUGUUAAAUCAACUCUCUUAACAUUUCUUUCCUAUCUUGUAGUUUUUACUAGUUUGCUUUAUAACAUUAAUGGUAAAGUAAGACUGUUAUCUCCUGACAUUGAUGAUAAAAUAGACUUCUUAAUUCCAAGUUCAAGUAUUCCAGCACUUUGCUUUAUAACAUUAAAUGGUAAAGUAAGAAAUAACCUUUAUGUUGUUCGAGGAAAACAAUAUUUGCCUCCAUCCGAGAUUUGUCAUGCAAUUGACUACAAGAGAAAACCUAGAAUUUAUUUCACAAUACAUAAAAAAUAAAAAUAUUUAACGCUCUAAAAGGUAAUUAAAAAAUCCAUUUAACAACCUGAUAGUAGGUCGCUCUGCUUCAAGGACAGCGGAAAUCAGUUUUUCACCACCAGUGACAAGAGCUAGCCUUGAUGCCAUUUUAUGGAAGAAUCUUAUCUGUAAAAAGAAUAAUAUAUGAAGGGUUCCGAUCACCAUACACAUUGUCCACACGACCUGUCACACAUAAUUAACCCAACCAUAGUUAAUCAAUCUUUAAGCACAUCAAUCAACAAUUCAGGAUUCAAAAAAAAAAUUUUUAAUUAUUCAGAUUAAAUUUUAUGCAUGAGAGAGAGACGAACAUGUAGUAGGCCAGAACUUAGCUGCACGAAGCCAUGGUGCAGGGUAAGCUGCAUAUUCUAUGGAGUAUGGUUUUGUCCACUUAUCAGCCAUGAGUAGUUGUGGUGGAUGAGGUGCUCCCUACAUUUUUUUAAAUUUCCAUCAUUAUCCCUAAUAUAACUCUUGAACAAAUAAUACAAAACAGUCAGAACUUAGUUAUUGUUAUAAUUACCUUGAUGACAUUGUUGUUGAUGUUCACCGUUCCUUUCUCAAUUUCUGAUAUUUCUUGUCUAAUGGAGAUCAAAGCAUCACAAAACCUGUCCAACUCAGCCUACAACACAAAAAUUCCACAUGUUAUGUCAUAUAUGUAACGCCCGCAAAUCCGGGCUAGUCAAUUUAGAGGAAAUAGGGGUCGAAAACGACUUUUUGACAAAAGAUUAUUUAGAAUAAAUAAUCUUAACCAAGUUAUGGAAUAUGUCUCAAGGUUUCCGUACAUAUAAAGAACGCCGAAAUCCGAGUUAUAACGAAGAAGUUAUGGCCCGUCGAAGUUUUACGGCAAAACCGGCACGGCGCCGGGAAGCGUAAAUAGCGAAUUUACGAUAGAGCGAGAUUUAGUGUUAGCAAUCUAAAAAAAAGUUGAAGAAUAUGUUAAACUAAGAGCGUCGAUAAAAAGAACGCCCAAAUCUGACUUCGUAUGAGGAAGUUAUGAUUUUUCUAAGAUUCGGCUUAGCAGUGCACGACCCGAAACUCGAAUUUUAGUUCGAGCGGGUUUUGGCUUAUGCGACCUAAAUGAGAGUUGAAGAUCUCAUUAAUAGGAACUCAACAGUAAAAAGAUGGACAAAAACGGAGUCCGUAUGAAGGAGUCACGAAUUCUUUGCGGUCAUUUAGCAGUCUAAUCUUCUCCUACUGUUAAAUUUAAGAUCGGUCAAGAAUUAGCCAAUGGAGUCUAAAUGAAAGUUGUAGAUCUUGUUUUUCAAUACGUGUGGAAAAAAAGAACGUCAAAAACGGAGCUCAUAUGCGAGAGUUAUGAUAUUUCUAAGUCGGGAGGCUGCUGUGCGAAAUCGGGUGACGUGGCGCAAUCCUAGCCGUUGCUUCCUCCCCAAGGCUAGCCACCAGAUGGUGACACCUGGCCUGGAACUCGACGAGUUUGAGACCAACUCGACGAGUUUGAGGCCAACUCGACGAGUUUUUGGCUUUUCGAGCCUAUAAAAAGGGUGCCGGGGCAUCCUCAUUUCUCAGCCCUUCCAAGUUCUCUUUCUCUCUCUAGAAUCUCUCUCUAAGCCUCCCUAACCCCCUAAAGCCAAGGGUAAACCCCCUAGCACCCGAAGGAAGCCCCGAGGCUCCCGGAGCCUCGAGAAAAAAGCCUUUCGGCUCUGGAACGCUGCUCCAGCGAAGCCUGGUUUUGCGAAAAACCCGCUGUAAGUGAGUUGUACCUACCCUAUCUUUAGUAUAGCUAAUGAAAGGAAAGGAAAAAACAUUAUAACUUUUAAAGAAACUUUACCUUUUUUUUUUUCAAAAAAUACCUUGCUUUCACUUUCAGUGGGUUCAAUCAUUAGUGUUCCUGGAAUUGAACAUGACAUAGUUAGACCAUAAAACCGGUAAUCAAUCAGACGUUUUGCAACAUCUUCUGGCUCUAUUCCAGCACUUGUCUGAAUAUGAAUAUGAUUCAAGUUAGUUUUUAUUUCUUUUUGACUUAACAAAAAAUAUGACUAAAUAAUAUUAUAACUUACUUUCAAGGGUCUCAAAUCAACGAUGAACUCAUGGGCAACUGUUCCACUCACACCACGGAAAAGAAUGGGAUAGUGACUCUGCAAUGUAAUUAAUCCCAAAGGAAAAAAAUUGAGAACUUGAUAAUAACAAUAAUUAAAAAAAUAUUAUAUAUUUGUUCUUUAUGAAUAGAGAAAGAAAGAAAUUGAGACCUCAAGACGUUUUGCCAUAUAGUUUGCAUUCAAGAUAGCUAUACUGUAUGCAUCUGUAAGUCCUUGAGAUCCCAUCAUGGCAAUGUAUGUAUACGAUAUAGGCAAGAUAAGUGUUGAACCCCAAGGUGCUGCUGAAACCGUGCCAAGUGGCUUACUCUACUCAGGGGCUGCCUCUAGUGGCAACCAUUAAAUCAAGAUUUACAAAUUAAUUUAUAUAAACUUAACAACAUAUUACUCUAAUUACACAUAAACAUCAAACUAAAAAAAUUAUUGUUUUGUCUUACCACAGGGUGUGAAGGCAAGUAGGGUGCCAAGUGUUUCUUCACACCAAUGGGGCCCAUUUCGGGCCCACCACCACCAUGUGGAAUGCAAAAUGUCUUGUGAAGGUUUAGAUGACAAACAUCAACCCCAAUCCACCAUGGACUUGUUAAUCCAACCUGUAAAAAAUAAAAACCAAAUAAUUUUUAUAUGAUGUUUCAAUUUUGUUAGCUCCAUUAAAACGACACAAGAAGUGCAAUGUUCAUGUACCUGUGCAUUCAUAUUCUCCAGUAGCUCCAACAUUUGGUUGCAAAGAGAAAGAGUCAAAUCCGGUUAUGGUACACAGAAUGUCCCCCAAAUUCUUGAACACUUCCUGCAAGAUAUUUUUUUAUGUUGCUCUCAGGUUAAAAAAAAGUCAACAGAAAUAUAAUUUGGAAUCGUAAGUCAAAAUUAGAAAGAUUUGAUUACCUGAUACCCCUAUGCUUGUUGGGUAGGAGCAAAAGGAUGCAUAUCUGCAAAGGCUGCCAUGUCACAGGCAUCAUCUCUGUAGUUGCAUUAAGCUUCAUGGUGCAAUAUCCCAAAGGAAUCAUACUGUGGCAUAAUGACAGAUCCUUUGACUGCAGCUUACUAAUGUAUCUUAGUAGCUCAUGCUCCGUAUGAUAACCAAAAUAAAUAAAUAAAUAAAGAAGCAGGAAAAGCCUUUUACAUGUUAAAAAAGUGACUAGGUUUUGAAAAAAAGUAUCAUGCGUGUUGAAAAUCGAAUGAGUCAGAUAUGGAGUCUCUCUGACAAGUCCGGAAGGGAUAACAUCCUGAACCUCUGGUGCAAGUGAUGUGGCACUGAAUGUCACCUAGAAUCAAGAAUCAAGAUUCUUGAUUUAUAUAAAGAUUUGUUAUAUCAAAAGAAAGGACAAACUCAUGGGUUUUCCUAAGGCAAAAACUUUGAACAUCCUGAACCUCCGCCAUGAGAACCCACUUCAGCUUCCGCCGUUAUUUCACCAACUCCGGCCAUUAGAUGUAAUCAUGUGUGCAGAUACUUACAUUACCAAAGAUAGGACCGGAGGCAAGAGCGGAUGAACUUGGUUCAGAAAACCAGAAGGGUGAUUAUGGUUUUCCAGAGAGAGAGAGAGAGAGAGAGAGAGAGAGAGAGAGAGAAUGCACAUUAGGAAUGAUGCCCUCAGCCAUUGCCCAAGCCAAUCAGAUACGAAAUUGAGGGCUUUAAGCACAGUGGGAUGAAAAUAUCACAUAUAGCUACAAUAUAAACAAACGGAUCUAGAAGUAAGUAAUGUUACUGGUAAGAAUAAUUAGCCGACAGUCAUAAAUGAUAAAUGCAUAAAGUUUUUAUUUCACUUGAAGAGAUUUUCUACUGAGGUGACCUAGAUUUGGUUCUUUGUGAUCUGAAAUAUCAACGAUUCAAGAGUGAAUUACUUGCUUAUUGUUAUGAUCUGUAUAGAAUUCAUUUAUGUUUCUCACUCAAAAACUUGAUUGUAUAGAUGAACAAAUACUAAGAUGAUCUCAAAUUGACAAGCGUAUAAUCGCAGAAACAAUUAGAAACAACCAACGAGCAAAAUGCAGGCAAGCAAACUUUAAAUUAUUCAGGUAGAAAGCACAAAUUGCAUAUCUAGUUACAUUCAUUUACAAAUCAAAUCAGAUUAACUCAAGUAUUAUAAAUCGGAUUGAUCUAAAUCAAAUCAACAUGAAGACCGAUCUAUUCGAAAGAAGUAACGGAGGAGAAAACGACUUACGGAUAGGAGACAGAAGGUGGAUCCAGGACUUAGAACCCCAAUCGCCAACAUCGUGAGUGAUGGAGGCGUUGAUUGUUGAUGAUGAAGGGCCGUUACGGUUUCAUCAAUUUCGAGUACGGUAGUACUAGGUGGGGGAGGAUAAGAUAGCUUCAAAGAAGGUCACAAAUCUGGAGCAAGGAAGAAGGAAGACAUCGUUGCGAAUUGACGGUGGUUGUGUCUAAGGUUAGAUUGACGGAGGAGGGAGAAAAUGGCUCUCUGUAUGAUUUUAUGAGAGAUAAGGGAGAUUACUUCAAAAUUUUAGAAUUUUCUAAUUUUAGAGGAUCCCUCUUUAAAAACGCGCGUUUAAAUGAAAAAAAAUGUAAAGCGACAUUUGUAGACGACGCCCAUUUAAUUUAGGUGCCCUCCAUGUUUGUAAAUUUUUUUUGUGGGACAAUAAUUUUAGGGCAUGCACAAAUGCGUAUCUUCUAUCCUUCAAAUUUUGGAAGGCUGACAUUAUUUUUAAGAACACAUCAAAAUGUGUAUCGUAAAUCAGUGUGUGUCAUUGUUCGCACGUCAUUAAAGGGUAUUUUUCUUGUAGUGAGUCGAUUUUGGUGUGCAUCAAGUUCUUUAUAUAGUGUGUCACAUCUAGGGUUACACCAUGUAAACCCUAAUGUGACAUGAGUCUUCAUUUCCAUGACCCAUGGGUUUGUAACUCCCAUGGAGCAUCCUUUGGGUUUAACCCAACUUGAUAAUCCAUGGAGCCUUUUAGCCCACUAUACAAGUUAUGGAUGAUUUACAUAAUCAACCCAUAUAUUUAAUUAGUUAUCUUUUGAUCACUUAAUUAUUUCCAAAUUAAUUCUUGAUCAAUACUAAUUAAAUAAUACUAUUAAUAUAUUAGAACUUAUAAUAUAUUAAUAAACCACAAGUGUUAUUUCUCUCAUUUAGUCUAUCCAAAUGCAUGGUGCCAUGCAACCCAAAUGCACCAUGCCGGGUUGGGUCAAGUACAUACAAAAUAUAGUUAUGAACUUAGACACCUUAUCCAACACAUACUACCUUCCACAUCUAUCCUUACUUUCCUCAAAAACUGCCUUGACUCCACCAAGUCCAUUCUACUGCUACUGCUCUCUGCUACUCUCAUCCUAGGAUUGUCCUAGGGUAAUCACCUUUCCACUCUUCGCCAUCAGCUGCAUAAGAAGUCCCAGCUUUCUUCCCAUAACUAGCUCGCGAAUACUAUUACAUAUCACUCAGACUAGAUAAUUCUUCGAAUGAGAGAUCCUACCCUGCAAUGGUUGGACUCAAACAAGAGCUGCGUAAUAGAGCUAGACCUAACCUUCUGAAAUUAUUUAAUCCUCGCAAUAUGUAACGUAACAUAUUCAUUUACUAGUUAGUAAAAGAUAGCUAAGACUCCUAAUAGCACAAAGCAAGCAACAUUCGAGCAUCGAGUACACACAAUCAAGCAUCUACUACUCUGGUUAUCAUACUGACAAUUCUGUACUAGCAUGCAGUUCUCAUUAAGCUGGAACACAUAUAACGGGUGUAUAAGGCAUCCUUCCUAGAUCGUUAGUCCUAAUCUAGCAUGUUGUUCUAAAUAAGCUGAUAAUCAGAACAUAGCAUAAACUUGUAUGGGUAAUUUGUGAGUACUUACUUGAACUUGGCUGAUUGCACGCACGACACCCCUUUUUCUCUUUUCAAAGUUAUUUUCUUUCAAAAAAAAAAAAAUCUUUUUGCUUUUCUAAAACUCUUUUCUUUUGAAAACUUUAUACCACUUCCUUAGUUUGAGUUUAUACACACUCGGAAGUGCGUCCGAAUCCCUCAAACCAAGGCUCUGAUACCAACUUGUAACAUCCUAAAAAUACAGUCAAAAAAUUUCGUUUUAAUUUAAUAAUAAAACCAUAGUGAUCGAACAUCAUAUAGAAAUCAUAAACAGUGUAUCUCAAAAUAUCAUAACAAUUGUCAAACUAUCAAAUUAUAAACAUCCCAGGCUGAACAGAUGGUGUGUGCACUACAAUCUUCCCGAGCUCCUCUUUGAAAACUGAGUACCUGAAACCAAGCUAAAACUAUAAGCAUGAAGCUUAGUGAGCUCCCCCAAACUACCACAUACCAUACAAUAACAUAUAAAGCACAUACUAGGGCUUGCCCACUGCAUCAGACCGAAGUCUGGAACUAACUAGGGCCUUACCCUCUACAUCGGACCGAAGUCUGGAAUUGACUAGGGCCUUGCCAUCUGCAUCGAACCGAAGUCCAAAACUGAUUAGGGCCUUGCCCACUGCAUCGAACCGAAGUCCGGAACUAACUAGGGCCUUUCCCAUUGCAUCAGACCGAAGUCCGGAACUAACUAGGGCCUUACCCACUGCAUCAGACCAAAGUCCGGAAUUAACUAGGGCCUUGCCCACUACAUCGGACUGAAGUCCGGAUCUGACUGAACAUAGCAUAGUAAAAUCAUAACAUAUAACAAUAACACAUAUACUGCAUACUGCAUCGCACCGCAGUCCGGAACACAUAACACAUAGACAUGCCUGAAUCACAAAGACAUCAAGCAUAUUGAACUACUUCUCUGGACCACCCCGUCAUCAAACCAUAGUCCGAAACUACUGCCAUCUAAACGGGCCGACAUUGUGGCCGUAGCCCAUUCCUACUUGAAGGAAACUCACCUCACAUGCUGAAGUCCCGCUGACAAAACCAUAGCUGCUAGAUGACAGAUUCCCGAUUUGUCAAUAUCAAAAUAACACGUAAUUACUAAUUGGGUUCCAACUCAUAUUCAUAAGUCCAUGCUUGGGUAAGAGACUACCUUACCCCAAUCUUAGCUUGACUCAAGCCCAAGGACCAAUCCAAAGGCCCAAAGGUCUAAUAAUGCACCAAAGCCCAACUAUGGCCCAAUUUUCCCAAUUGGGCCCAAAUCUCUACAUGGUCUUGAUCAAAAGCCCAACCAUUUAGUCUAGUCCAACAUUUGGCAUUUUAAUGGCCCAUUAUUAUAUAACCAUCAAGGCCCAAACUAUGGCCUAAUUUUCCAAAUUGGGUCCAAACCCUCAUAUGGGCCUUACCCUAAGACCAGUUAAUUAUUCUAAUUUGUUUGCUUGCUCUUGGAUGGUCCAUUAUUAUCCCAAUCACCAAGGCCCAAUAGGAAGGCCCAACUCAAGUCCAAGUAAAAUUAGGGUUUCACAUAAAAUGACAAUUAUGGUUAAGUGUUUCUCACUUAACUCAUUAAGGACUUAAUCCAUUAAGUCCUUUACUCUACUAGAUAAAUGAUAUGGAAUAAUUUGGGCUUACUACACAAUCCAAUCCUAAUGGCCCAAAGGUGGGUCCUAAUAAGUCGAAGGCCCAAACACUCACAAUUAGGGAUUUCUACCCAAACAUGGCCCAAUAGGCCCAAAAUUAAUCUGUAAGCCCAUUAGGGUUUUGCUAGGUCCAUUAAGGUUUUGCUUGGGGGCACCACCCACUACCUACUUGGGUAGUGGUGGUCAACGACGGUUCACAGCGGUGGCCACCACCUUACGGUGGUGGUUAUGGUUCUUUUCAUUACAUUUUCUACUAAUUACAAUUACAAGUAUUUAAUCCGUAAAUAAACAUACACACACACACACUAACCACUGUAAAACACACUCAGAAAACGACUCUAUUGGUGGCUGGGGGGNNNNNNNNNNNNNCAGCCACCACCAUGGAGGUGGUGGUGGCUUUUCCUAUGAACUCUAACUAGACAAAACACACACACAUACUUUAGAUUGCACACAACACUCCAGCCACCCACCUGGUGGCUCAAGGGGACAACAACGACGAUAUUGGGAUGGUAGCCACCACCGCACGGUGGUGGCGGUGGUUUCUGUUGGUUCCUAGACAAGCAGCAACACACCUACGCGACUAUGUUUGCAAGGCGCACCCAGCUACCCACCUGGUGGCGUUUGGCAAUGGCAGAAACAACUCAAGCGGCUCAUCGGCGGCAUAACGGUGUCUAACAACGGCGACGAUGUACAGCGGGACAAGGCGGCAACAACAAUGUACCAUUCGAAAGAAAUGGAGAAAAGAGAAGGCUGAGCGAUGGCGAACUGAGCAAGGGAAUGCUCCCGAUCACAGCCAACCUCACAAGGGCCCAUGGCAGUUAGAGGGAAAGCUUCAUCCACAACUGCAACCUCUGCUCGAUAAAGUGAUGGUGGCAAUAACUCGACGGUAGAAGAAACGGAGACGAGGGGGCGGCAGAAAACGAUGGCAAUAGAAAUCAAUAGAAACCACCUUGACAAACAACUGCUCAUCGUCUUCAUCGACCCUUGGUGGUUCUCCGGCAGCAGCAUCGAAAUGGAGACCUUCCAUAGCAGUGUAUCGGUCGACGGUGCUUAAUGGCGAGGCGGUAGGCAUCCCUAUUGAUCGGAAUAGCGAACAGAAGCGAGGUAGUGGCGGCUGACUUCACUCAUGGCGGCUGGAACCUCUGAGGUUUAGGGUUUGGGAGUAAUAAGGUGACGGGAAGGAAAGGUCACCGAGUAUAUCCACUCCAAUACAAACUUCCUUUCACUUUUGUCACAUAUAGCCCCUCCUUAUCAGUUCUUCUUCAAAUUAAGCCCCAAAAUUUACCUUUUAGCCCCCACCCCCAAGAAUCUAUUCAAUAUAAGUCCAUCAUUUACCAUUUAUACCCUGCCUUAUGAAUUCAAUUUCAUAAUAAAUCGUAAUAAUUACCAAACAUACCCCCACUUCUAAAAUCCUUCACAAAUUAAAUCCGGUAAUUUACUAAACAACCCUCAACUAUUAAAAUUCUUCACAAUUUAGUCCGGGAGUUACAUUUAUUAAUUUAUAUGUUUAUUUAUUAAUUAAACGAGGUGUUACAUAUAAUCACAUAUGAUUAAA
rnacentral:lncRNA from 1 species